AUGCCACCAGGACUGGAAUAGGUCACUGGGCCGAUCCUCAUUCCUAAACACCAUCCAAUGGGGAAGGCUGAUACUAACAUGCAAACUUUGUUUUUUUACUCCUUCAGGUAAAGAGAUAUUGGAAGAUAUUCUGGAGUAGGGUGUGAAGAUUCAAGAGUAGUCUUCGAAUAUGUGCACCAUGAUAGGUCGUGGAGGUGUUUUGUGGGUGGGGCUUUGGAAGGUUCAGUUAUCAGGAAAUUGUAGAUACUAAGGAAAUCAGGAAAGAAAAGAUAACCCAACUCAACCAUUCAGGGUAAGCUCCCAAAGGGCUCUUUCUGGCUACUUAAUGCCCAGAAGCCAGGCCUUCAUCUCCUAUCAACUCUACAAGCCAGUAGGUGCCAAUGAGGUUCAUAUAGUGUCAGAUCUAUUCAUGCCUUUCCCUACAGCCAGGACUUUGGGGGGCAAAAUAUAAGGGGCACCAUAAAAGUUCAGUAUUCAAGAUAAAUAUUUUAAGGUAGUAUCUUUGAAAAUCAGAAUUCAUGCAAAAAAAUCAUGAUGAACAAAACUGUCAAAUUAUGCUUCCUCUUCACUCCCCCCCGACCUCCCAACCACAACCCCUGUAAAUUUAUUCUAAGUGUCACCUGUCACCUAGCUACCAAUUAAAAAACAAACAAACAAACAAACACCAAAAACAAACAAACAAACAAAAACAAAAAACCCAGGGACUACGUCUACCACCAGGGGGCCUUGUGCUCUUGGCCUCAAGUCCGGCCUCCCUAUCUACCAAAACCCCGGGGACACAAGACCAAAGCUUGGAGUUAGCCCAGCCAAUCCCGCUCUCCUCAAAAAUAGCCUUGGCGUUCCCUGUCCAUACUGGCGCCCCUCCUACCUCCGGGGACCAAGGCCGGUGUCGCUCUUAUCCCCGAGUCCCAACAAAGCAUCACUCCACUGCUUCAUCCCUCAAGUGCUCUGCCGUGACCGGCGCCCACUCGCGCCAAUCUGGACCCUGGUUUCUGCUACGGGAAGGGCACACGGGGCGGCGCCUUGGCAUGAGUUACCCCAGUUCGUCCGCGCCGCUGACCGUCAGUGCACAGCCUGGCCACCCGCCUCCGUAGCACCGGCGGGAAGCCAGGAUCACAUAUCCUAAAAUCCUCGGGCACUUCUGCGACCCUCUCGUGGUCCGCAAGAUCUCACUGCCCUUCGGAGGAGAAAUAAGUGCACCUUGCGGUCUGGGCAUCUUAACAGUGGGCUCCUAAACUUGGUUGUAUGAGAGGUGCAGAAGUCAAAGUCACCUUGCAGUUAGCAAGCCUACUCACCCACCACCUCUCUGUCUCAAAGACUACACAGUCCAGAAGCCCGUGCGGCCACUUCCGCCGUCCCUUCCGCUCCCCCUGUUUUUGAGUUGACGUAGCAGGAGCAUUUCCGGUCCGUGGGAUCCGCCACUCGCUGUUUGGAAGUGGCGUCGGCACUUCAUUCGGGAUUUUCCCGUACUUCUGCACUUCGUUCCCGAGUCUCAGCCUCAGGAUCGGCAACGUGCACCCCGCGUUCCAUCUGUCUUCUGAGACUUUGCCCUUCUCCAGAGAGAGCAUUCAGGAGACCAGGAAAAUGGCCACGGGGCUCCUGAAAGCCAAAAAAGAGGUGAGAAUUUUCAUCAAAUUCCAUGCUGGCUGCCAACAGAAUGGCCCUGUUCCUUUUUCUUGCACUGCAGACUGCCUUGUUGGUAUUGGGCCAAGUUCACUCCUGUUCGUGGAGGCGUGGUGGCUCAUCUGACAUAGAAUCCCCCCUUCACCAUUCCUUUCUGUUUCUUCCAUACCUCGGCCAUCCUCGAAAUGGUCAGUUUGAACAGCACACGUAAAACAGUUUAAAUAAAAAUACAGGAACAUCCAAGCUUAAUUGUCCAGUGAUAAGGAUGAAGGGUAGGGACAGCAGAGAUGCUUGUGACCUGAGGUGGUUAGGGAGGGCUUCCAGAAGAAGGGCUGUCAGAACUGCCCCUGAGGGUUUGGCAAGUUGGAGAGUUGGCAGAGCAGGGAGGAGAGCAGGAAGCAUGGUUAGUCUGAGGCAGGGCACAGUGCCCUGGCCACAGUGUGGCAAGGUUGUAGUGGUUAAUAGAAUGCUUUCAGGUUGAUUUUUAUGUGCUGGUGAAGAUACAGACGCAUGGAACAGAGAGGAGUUUGAUGGUCUGACCUGAAUUUUACAUUGAGAGCCUUUUCAGCAUUUGGAGAUUUCACCAAAAAUUCUGGAUUGCCUGCUUCUCUGAAAAUAAACUGC